rnacentral:rRNA from 1 species
UCAGGAUGAACGCUAGCGACAGGCUAACACAUGCAAGUCGAGGGGCAGCAUAAAAGUAGCAAUACUUGGUGGCGACCGGCGCACGGGUGAGUAACGCGUAUGCAACCUACCUAUCAGAGGGGAAUAACCCGGCGAAAGUCGGACUAAUACCGCAGUAAAACAGGGACACCGCAUGGUGAUAUUUGUUAAAGAAAUUCGCUGAUAGAUGGGCAUGCGUUCCAUUAGGUAGUGGUGAGGUAACGGCUCACCAAGCCGACGAUGGAUAGGGGAACUGAGAGGUUGGUCCCCCACACUGGUACUGAGACACGGACCAGACUCCUACGGGAGGCAGCAGUGAGGAAUAUUGGUCAAUGGGCGAGAGCCUGAACCAGCCAAGUCGCGUGAAGGAAGAAGGAUCUAUGGUUCGUAAACUUCUUUUGCAGGGGAAUAAAGUGCAGGACGUGUCCUGUUUUGUAUGUACCCUGAGAAUAAGGAUCGGCUAACUCCGUGCCAGCCGCCGC